rnacentral:rRNA from 1 species
GACGAACGCUGGCGGCGUGCUUAACACAUGCAAGUCGUACGGUAAGGCCCUUUCGGGGGUACACGAGUGGCGAACGGGUGAGUAACACGUGAGUAACCUGCCCACAACUUUGGGAUAACGCUAGGAAACUGGUGCUAAUACUGGAUAUGUGCUCCUGCUGCAUGGUGGGGGUUGGAAAGCUCCGGCGGUUGUGGAUGGACUCGCGGCCUAUCAGCUUGUUGGUGGGGUAGUGGCCUACCAAGGCGGCGACGGGUAGCCGGCCUGAGAGGGUGACCGGCCACAUUGGGACUGGGAUACGGCCCAGACUCCUACGGGAGGCAGCAGUGGGGAAUAUUGCACAAUGGGCGCAAGCCUGAUGCAGCAACGCCGCGUGCGGGAUGACGGCCUUCGGGUUGGAAACCGCUUUCAGCAGGGACGAAGCUUUUUGUGACGGUACCUGCAGAAGAAGCACCGGCUAACUACGUG